AGAGGCACGACUGGUAUCGAAUGAGCUCUUUAUGUCUCCGAACUGUGUGUAGUCUUGUGUGUUUAUUCUCAAUUUAAAUACUAAGAUGGAUACCGUAUGUGAUUUUGUGUCGGAUGUUUUCUCUGAAGGUUUGGUCCAAAGAAGCAUUUUUGUCUUAAAGAUUUUGAAGGAAUAAAUUUGUUACCGAUGAUUACCAAUUUUCAGAAGGUUGUUUAUAGAUGACUUUUCUCUUUACGUUUUUUUAAAAAUCCAAGAAGCUACCGUGAUUUCCUUGAAAUUGAUGUUUGAGAUUCUACCACAGGAAGUAACUAAUGCUAGAUUGAAAGAAUAUACCUUGCAGCAGAAUAAUCAUGAUUUUACAGCUUGAUACUCUACUACAGAAAGUUACUAAUGCUAGAUUGAAAGAAUAUAGACCUUGCAGUAGAAUAUUGAUUAUCACUUUAAAGUUUAUUGAUGGGCUUUGUACUGGAUACCUCAACGACGUAUAGUAACUCUUGAGGACCCUAUUUGCCGAGAUCUCCAUUUCGGACCUAGUUGCCAUAGGAAACGUGUGUGCCAAGAUGCCCUCGAUUACUUAGUGUGAUAACUAUGUGUGCCUAGAUGACUUCGAUAACUACCUAGAUACCAUGAUAAACAUGUGUGCCAAGAUGACCUGAAUUACUGACCUAGUUGUCAUGAGAACAAUGUGUACCAAGAUUAGCUUGAUUACCGACCUAGUUACCAUGAGAAACAUGUGUGCCAAAAUGAUUGACCUUUGUUGCCAUGACCGAACUGAAGAGUUAAACCUACCUUAUUUCUUCGACUCAAAAGGUUUAUUUUUUAUAUUCUCUAAUAUGGAAAUUCCACACUUGUAUUAUAUGAAUAUUUAAAUAUAAUUUUUUUAAUAAGAA